UACGGAGGGGGCUAGCGUUGUUCGGAAUUACUAGGCGUAAAGCGCACGUAGGCGGCUUUGUAAGUUAGAGGUGAAAGCCCAGGGCUUAACCCUGGAAUUGCCUUUAAGACUGCAUCGCUAGAAUCGUGGAGAGGUGAGUGGAAUUCCGAGUGUAGAGGUGAAAUUCGUAGAUAUUCGGAAGAACACCAGUGGCGAAGGCGACUCACUGGACACGUACUGAACGCUGAGGUGCGAAAGCGUGGGGAGCAAACAGGG
rnacentral:rRNA from 1 species